CCUCCACCAAUCCCCUGGACUGUAACUGUUAGGUUGAAUGCCCUCCACCAAUACCCUGGACUGUAACUGUUAGGUUGAAUGCCCUCCACCAAUACCCUGGACUGUAACUGUUAGGUUGAAUGCCCUCCACCAAUACCCUGGACUGUAACUGUUAGGUUGAAUGCCCUCCACCAAUACCCUGGACUGUAACUGUUAGGUUGAAUGCCCUCCUCCAAUCCCCUGGACUGUAACUGUUAGGUUGAAUGCCCUCCACCAAUACCCUGGACUGUAACUGUUAGGUUGAAUGCCCUCCUCCAAUCCCCUGGACUGUUACUGUUAGGUUGAAUGCCCUCCACCAAUCCCCUGGACUGUUACUGUUAGGUUGAAUGCCCUCCACCAAUACCCUGGACUGUAACUGUUAGGUUGAAUGCCCUCCUCCAAUCCCCUGGACUGUUACUGUUAGGUUGAAU
rnacentral:lncRNA from 1 species